AUUUUUUACGUCAAGUUAAUGUUAUUUAAAGGUUUCACCUUUUUCCCCUAUUCAUAUGCUAUUAUUUAUUUAUAUACACCAUAAAUUAGACAAAUAUAAUAGAAUAUUUUAAAAACUAUAUAUAAAUUAUAUAUACAAAGAAGCUCAUCCGACAACACAAGGCGCUGAAUGUUGAAAGACGAACACUCAAAAAAGAUGUGAUGUA